ACUUCCUCCUCCCCUUCCCCCUCCCCGGCCACCGUCCUCCCCUCCCCCAGCGCCCUUCCUCUUCCCGCUCCCCUGUGCAUGGCGUAGGUGACGACAGCUCGCUCAUCCAAGUUGGUAACUUCGGUGUUUGAGAAGGGAGCGCUUGUGGAAGGAUGGACAGCAACUCGACUGAUCCUAUAGUAGGCAAUCCAACGACACCAACCAAGAAGAUGGGCACGAACAAUGACCCCAACCAUCCCGCUUGCAACAAUCCAAACCUGGGUUAUUCAGCAUACCCUCCACAAACCCAGCCCACACAAAUGAUGGCCACAAUGCCCACCUAUCAACCGUAUGGCAUGCCACCCCCCACCAUUGACCCAGAAGCACCUAUGCAGUCACAUGUACAGCCACAUAUGCCGGCACUUAUGCACCCACAUAUGCAGCCAUCUAUUCAGCCAAAUUGGCCGAAUAACUGAUUCCAGCAGAACUACAUGUAUCCUGGUAAUUCAAUGCCAGUCCCUCAAACUGCUGCCAACCGUGCACAAGAUAAACUGCUG